rnacentral:rRNA from 1 species
GAUGAACGCUGGCGGCGUGCCUAAUACAUGCAAGUCGAGCGAACGGACGAGAAGCUUGCUUCUCUGAUGUUAGCGGCGGACGGGUGAGUAACACGUGGAUAACCUACCUAUAAGACUGGGAUAACUUCGGGAAACCGCAGCUACUAACGGAUAAUAUUUUGAACCGCAGGGUUCAAAAGUAAAAGACGGUCUUGCUGUCACUUAUAGAUGGAUCCGCGCUGCAUUAGCUAGUUGGUAAGGUAACGGCUUACCAAGGCAACGAUGCAUAGCCGACCUGAGAGGGUGAUCGGCCACACUGGAACUGAGACACGGUCCAGACUCCUACGGGAGGCAGCAGUAGGGAAUCUUCCGCAAUGGGCGAAAGCCUGACGGAGCAACGCCGCGUGAGUGAUGAAGGUCUUCGGAUCGUAAAACUCUGUUAUUAGGGAAGAACAUAUGUGUAAGUAACUGUGCACAUCUUGACGGUACCUAAUCAGAAAGCCACGGCUAACUACGUG